rnacentral:rRNA from 1 species
CGUGCCUAAUACAUGCAAGUCGAGCGAGCUUGCCUAGAUGAUUUUAGUGCUUGCACUAAAUGAAACUAGAUACAAGCGAGCGGCGGACGGGUGAGUAACACGUGGGUAACCUGCCCAAGAGACUGGGAUAACACCUGGAAACAGAUGCUAAUACCGGAUAACAACACUAGACGCAUGUCUAGAGUUUGAAAGAUGGUUCUGCUAUCACUCUUGGAUGGACCUGCGGUGCAUUAGCUAGUUGGUAAGGUAAUGGCUUACCAAGGCGAUGAUGCAUAGCCGAGUUGAGAGACUGAUCGGCCACAUUGGGACUGAGACACGGCCCAAACUCCUACGGGAGGCAGCAGUAGGGAAUCUUCCACAAUGGACGAAAGUCUGAUGGAGCAACGCCGCGUGAGUGAAGAAGGGUUUCGGCUCGUAAAGCUCUGUUGGUAGUGAAGAAAGAUAGAGGUAGUAACUGGCCUUUAUUUGACGGUAAUUACUUAGAAAGUCACGGCUAACUACGUGCCAGCAGCCGCGGUAAUACGUAGGUGGCAAGCGUUGUCCGGAUUUAUUGGGCGUAAAGCGAGUGCAGGCGGUUCAAUAAGUCUGAUGUGAAAGCCUUCGGCUCAACCGGAGAAUCGCAUCAGAAACUGUUGAACUUGAGUGCAGAAGAGGAGAGUGGAACUCCAUGUGUAGCGGUGGAAUGCGUAGAUAUAUGGAAGACACCAGUGGCGAAG